UACGGAGGGGGCUAGCGUUGUUCGGAAUUAUUGGGCGUAAAGGGCGCGUAGGCGGCCGAAUAAGUCUGACGUGAAAUCCCACGGCCCAACCGUGGAACUGCGUUUGAUACUGUUCGGCUCGAGUCCGGGAGAGGGUAGCGGAAUUCCCAGUGUAGCGGUGAAAUGCGUAGAUAUUGGGAGGAACACCGGUGGCGAAGGCGGCUACCUGGACCGGUACUGACGCUGAGGCGCGAAAGCUAGGGUAGCAAACAGGAUUAGAUACCCUGGUAGUCCUAGCUGUAAACGAUGGGUGCUUGGUGUAGCGGGUAUCGACCCCUGCUGUGCCGAAGCUAACGCAUUAAGCACCCCGCCUGGGGAGUACGGUCGCAAGGCUGAA
rnacentral:rRNA from 1 species